UGGGGAAUAUUGCACAAUGGGCGCAAGCCUGAUGCAGCCAUGCCGCGUGUGUGAAGAAGGCCUUCGGGUUGUAAAGCACUUUCAGCGAGGAGGAAGGGUAGUGUGUUAAUAGCACAUUGCAUUGACGUUACUCGCAGAAGAAGCACCGGCUAACUCCGUGCCAGCAGCCGCGGUAAUACGGAGGGUGCAAGCGUUAAUCGGAAUUACUGGGCGUAAAGCGCACGCAGGCGGUUCGUUAAGUCAGAUGUGAAAUCCCCGCGCUUAACGUGGGAACUGCAUUUGAAACUGGCAAGCUAGAGUCUUGUAGAGGGGGGUAGAAUUCCAGGUGUAGCGGUGAAAUGCGUAGAGAUCUGGAGGAAUACCGGUGGCGAAGGCGGCCCCCUGGACAAAGACUGACGCUCAGGUGCGAAAGCGUGGG
rnacentral:rRNA from 1 species